GAUGGAUUAAUCUAUUUAUGACUUAGACUUGUUUAUGUCAAACCUAAACCUGCUUAAAGUGAGCUGUUCACGGAUUGAAUUGAUAGAUCAGAUCAUAAAUUGCCACCCUUAACCAUAGGAUUAUCUCGAUUGUUGGAAAGGAAUGCGUUUUUCAGAAAAGCCUCUACCAUUUUGUUUUUCCAACACCUCAAAAUAGCAAGACAAUUCUAUGUUGGUGGUAG
rnacentral:lncRNA from 1 species